rnacentral:rRNA from 1 species
CCCGAAAUAAUAAGAGUUAGAAUGUUAUAAUGGUUGUUCGUUGAAUUGAGCUCCUUAAUAUUAUUCUAGUAGUGAAAUGUUAUUCGUUUAUUAUGAUAUCUGGUUCCUCAGGAAGUGAAUGUAGUUCUGGUCUGAUUUAUUAUGAGUGAUGAUAAAUAAUUAUUGUUGAUUUUAAUUUUAGGGAUGACUUAKUUAAAUAGGGAUGAGCUUGUUUAAUUGGUUUAUAAUUUUAAUAAAUGGGUAUAUAUUAAUUUUUAGGCUUUGAAUCUGUCACAGUUAUUUAUAGUUCGUUGUAGAAAGUUGGUUAUAUAGAUUUGCGAUUUAGUUAUUUAAAAUAGGAUUUAGUUAAUAUACUGGGGUGAUUGGUUUAAUUUUGUUUUAAAAUGAAAAAAUUCCUUAAUUAGUAGAGUUUAUAUAUGUCAGAAGAAAAAUUUGUUUAAAGAUUUUGACGGGUAAUUGUGAGAAGUUUAGUUUUGAAUUAAGUUAAAGGAAUUAGGCAAAAAUGAUAUCUGCCUGUUUAAUAAAAACAUGGCUUCUUGUUAUAGGUUUAUUAAAUAUAAGAAGUCUAACCUGCCCUCUGAUAUUUAGUAAUUGAAGGGCUUGCAGUAUACUUGACUGUACAAAGGUAGCAUAAUAUUUUGCCUAUUAAAUGUUGGCUUGUAUGAAUGGUUUGACAAGAUAUUGACUGUCUCUGAUUUAUUGACUUUAAAUUCACUUUCCUAAGUGAAGAGGCUGGAAUGUAUUUGAGGGACGAGAAGACCCUAUAGAUUUUUAUUAAUUGUUUGUUUAAUAUAAAUUUAUGUUUUUAAUUUUAUUUUUAUAAUUAAUUUUACUGGGGCGGUAUUUGAAGAUCCGGAUCUUCAAAUUUUAGUGAUAUUUCAUUUGUGGGUGUAUUGAUCCUUUAUUAUGGAUAAGAAGAAAAAUACCUUAGGGAUAA